AUGAGGCUUAUUUUUGUUGUUGUUGCGGUUGCGGCUUUGUUGACAGAAAAUCUAGCGCUUCCAGUUGGAAAAGAAGGACAGAGAGAAGAUGUGGUUACACGAUGCUUGGUUGAAGUCCUGUCCAAAGCUCUCUCCAAACCGGACUCUCAGCUGGAUCAGGAAUGCAAAGAUAUCCUCCAAGCAGGGGUCAAACAUGCCCCACUGGACAAGAAGAGUGCGGCGGGUAUAGCAACUCAUGGAGAGGUGGUCAAAGGUCAUCCUGAAGUGCCUGAGGCAAAGGGAGCAGAUGUGAAAGACAUCGAGGCUCUCCUGAAAUCCGUGGAGGAAAAAAGAGAAAUCCCAGAAGACGAGCGCAGCCAAGAAUCCUGGAGUCUGGGUGACGAGAAGGAGAAGAGACAUGAGAAUGAGGAGGAAGAAGAGCGGGAGAAGAGGAGCAGCUGGAGGCCUGGAAGAUACCACCAACGGAAAAACAAACGAGGAGGAGAAGAAGACAACGAACGCAGUCAGGAGAGUUGGGGUUUAGAGGAGAAGAGAUCAGAAGAAGAAGAAGAAGGCGAAGACAGAGAGAAGAGGAACUGGAGGCCUGGAAGAUACCACCAAAGAAAACACAAACGAGAUGAGGAACCUUUAGGAGAAGAGAGGGAGGAGCCAGAGGAAGAACGUAGCCAAGAGUACUGGGAUGUAGACAAAAGGCAUGGGAACGAGGAUGAGGGGGAGAGAUACAAGCGCAUAUGGAAGCCCACACAUCGCUACCACCACAAGAAAAAGCUCCACAAACGUGGUGAGGAGGAAGAUGAAGAUAGCAGUCGCAGCCAGGAAUCUUGGGGUCUUGACGAUGAGAGAGAAAAGAGGGACUGGAGGGCUGGAAGGUACCACCAGAGGAGACACAAACGUGAUGAAGAGCUCGCAGAAGAAGCCAGGGAAGAGCCUGAUGAAGAACGCAGCCAGGAAUCUUGGGGUCUCGAAGGUGAGAAAGACAAGAGGGACUGGAGGGCUGGAAGGUACCACCAGAGGAGACACAAACGUGAUGAAGAGCUCGCAGAAGAAGCCAGGGAAGAGCCUGAUGAAGAACGCAGCCAGGAAUCUUGGGGUCUCGAAGGUGAGAAAGACAAGAGGGACUGGAGGGCUGGAAGGUACCACCAGAGGAGACACAAACGUGAUGAAGAGCUCGCAGAAGAAGCCAGGGAAGAGCCUGAUGAAGAACGCAGCCAGGAAUCUUGGGGUCUUGAAGGUGAGAAAGACAAGAGGGACUGGAGGGCUGGAAGGUACCACCAGAGGAGACACAAACGUGAUGAAGAGCUUGCAGAAGAAGCCAGGGAAGAGCCUGAUGAAGAACGCAGCCAGGAAUCUUGGGGUCUUGAAGGUGAGAAAGACAAGAGGGACUGGAGGGCUGGAAGGUACCACCAGAGGAGACACAAACGUGAUGAAGAGCUUGCAGAAGAAGCCAGGGAAGAACCUGAUGAAGAACGCAGCCAGGAAUCUUGGGGUCUUGAAGGUGAGAAAGACAAGAGGGACUGGAGGGCUGGAAGGUACCACCAGAGGAGACACAAACGUGAUGAAGAGCUCGCAGAAGAAGCCAGGGGGGAGCCUGAUGAAGAACGCAGCCAGGAAUCUUGGGGUCUCGAAGGUGAGAAAGACAAAAGGGACUGGAGGGCUGGAAGGUACCACCAGAGGAGACACAAACGUGAUGAAGAGCUCUCAGAGGAAGCCAGGGAAGAGCCCGAUGAAGAACGUAGCCAAGAGUACUGGGACUUUGAUACCGGAAGAGAUAAGAGAGACUGGAGGGCCGGGAGGUACCACCAGAGGAGACAGAAACGUGAUGAGGAGCUCUCAGAGGAAGAGAGAGAAGAGCCCGAUGAAGAACGCAGCCAAGAGUACUGGGACUUUGAUACUGGAAGAGAUAAGAGAGAGUGGAGGGCCGGCAGGUACCACCAGAGGAGACAGAAACGUGAUGAGGAGCUCUCAGAGGAAGAGAGAGAAGAGCCGGACGAAGAACGCAGCCAAGAGUCCUGGGGCUUGGACAAAAGAAAUGGAAAAGAAGAGGAAGAAAUAGAAAAGCGCAUAUGGAAACCAACACAUAGAUACCACCAUAAAAAGAAACUCCACAAGCGUGGCGGAGGCUCAUCGGAAGAAGAGGAAGAACAGAGGAGUGAUUCAGAGGAAUAUGAGGAGGCGGCAAAGGACAAGGACAAUGCUCUGAGAUAUUUGGCAGAGAAGCGUAAUCCCUGGAUUUUCAGAGGCUACUACCAUCCUGCAUGGUUUAAAAGAAGUUCAGAUGAGCACGCUGCAACCUCAGACAAGAUGGAGGAACUGGCUAAGUUGCUGAAGUAUAAGAUAAACCAGCUGGCCAACCACUCUAAUCAAGAUGAGGCAAAGAGGAGCACACACCAGAGAGCACUUAACGCGCAGGAGGUAAAACUGCUUCCACUUAUUGCAAAAAAAAUGACCUUUGUUACUGAAGCGCGGAUGUAUUUGCUCUUGUUCGCUUUGAUAAACCUCUAA
rnacentral:lncRNA from 15 species